AUGUGAUCGUCUCUCGCAUAUCAAUAAGCGGAGGAAAAGAAACUAACAAGGAUUCCCCUAGUAACGGCGAGUGAAGCGGGAAGAGCUCAGAUUUGAAAUCUUAAAGGGUUUCCCUUUACGAAUUGUAGUUUAAAGAAGUGUUUUCUGUUGAGAUUUUGGUAAAAGUUCUUUGGAAUAGGACAUCAUAGAGGGUGAGAAUCCCGUAUUUGACCUUUACUUUCAACUUUGUGAUACACUUUCAAAGAGUCGGAUUGUUUGGGAAUGCAGUCCAAAAUGGGUGGUAAAUUUCAUCUAAAGCUAAAUAUUGGCGAGAGGCCGAUAGCGAACAAGUACCGUGAGGGAAAGAUGAAAAGAACUUUGAAAAGAGAGUUAAACAGUACGUGAAAUUGUCAAAAGGGAAGCGUUUGACACCAGUGUUGUUUUUCUGAAAAUCAAUUAAAGAACUGUUUAUGCUAAGCUGUUUAGACUUUAUCAGCUAAUCUGCUUAGUUUUGAGCUUUUCUUUAAUGCACUUUUCAGUUAACAAGUCAACAUCAAUUUCUUUUGCUGUAAAAAAGCUUGAGGAAGGUGGACUUGAGAUUCGUCUUAAGUGUUUAUAGCCUCUUGCCUAUGCAGUCGGAGAGAUUGAGGUCCUGCAGCGUAGAUCCUUCGGGGCUAAAUGCAUUUGUGCUAAGUUAUAGCAUUUUAUAGACAACUUGUUGACUAUGAUUUGUCUUGUAGCUUACUCGCUUAUGUUAUUUUACCUACGCUUAGGAUGUUGAUCUACAGAGCGAGAGU
rnacentral:rRNA from 1 species